rnacentral:rRNA from 1 species
UGAGGAAUAUUGGUCAAUGGCCGGAAGGCUGAACCAGCCAAGUCGCGUGAGGGAAGACGGCCCUACGGGUUGUAAACCUCUUUUGUCAGGGAGCAAACCUCUCCACGCGUGGGGAGUCGAGAGUACCUGAAGAAAAAGCAUCGGCUAACUCCGUCGCC